rnacentral:rRNA from 1 species
UGGGGAAUAUUGGACAAUGGGCGAAAGCCUGAUCCAGCCAUGCCGCGUGUGUGAAGAAGGUCUUCGGAUUGUAAAGCACUUUAAGUUGGGAGGAAGGGCAUUAACCUAAUACGUUAGUGUUUUGACGUUACCGACAGAAUAAGCACCGGCUAACUCUGUGCCAGCAGCCGCGGUAAUACAGAGGGUGCAAGCGUUAAUCGGAAUUACUGGGCGUAAAGCGCGCGUAGGUGGGUUGUUAAGUUGGAUGUGAAAUCCCCGGGCUCAACCUGGGAACUGCAUACCAAGCUGACUGACUAGAGUAUGGUAGAGGGUGGUGGAAUUUCCUGUGUAGCGGUGAAAUGCGUAGAUAUAGGAAGGAACACCAGUGGCGAAGGCGACCACCUGGACUAAUACUGACACUGAGGUGCGAAAGCGUGGGGAGCAAACA